CCCUUAGAUGUUCUGGGCCGCACGCGUGCUACACUGAGUAAAUCAAUGGGUAAGGGAACACGAAAGUGCAACCUAAUCUUGAAAUUUGCUCGUGAUGGGGAUCGACGGUUGCAAUUUUCCGUCGUGAACGAGGAAUACCUUGUAGGCGCGUGUCAUCAUCACGCGCCGAAUACGUCCCUGCCCCUUGUACACACCGCCCGUCGCUCCUACCGAUUGAGUGAUCCGGUGAGGCUCUGGGACCUGGACGGAAAGAGCGUUUCGCUUGUUCUGUUUGGGAAACUUGGUCGAACCUUAUCAUUUAGAGGAAGGAGAAGUCGUAACA
rnacentral:rRNA from 1 species